CCAGUCCAAGGGUUCCUGCUUAAAGCUAAUCUGAGCAGGGUGAGCCGGCCCCUAAGGCGAGGCCGAAAGGCGUAGUCGAUGGGAACCAGGUUAAUAUUCCUGGGCCAGGAGGAUGUGACGGAUCUCAGGUGUAGUUCGGUCUUAUCGGAUUGACCGGGCUGCUGAGAGGUCCCUGGAAAUAACCCUCCAUCAGACCGUACCCUAAACCGACACAGGUGGACUGGUAGAGCAUACCAAGGCGCUUGAGAGAAUCACGUUUAAGGAACUCGGCAAAAUGCCUCCGUAAGUUCGCGAGAAGGAGGCCCGGUUCGUGGGCAACCAUGGGCCGGGGGCACAAACCAGGGGGUAGCGACUGUUUACUAAAAACACAGGGCUGUGCGAAGCCGUAAGGCGACGUAUACAGUCUGACGCCUGCCCGGUGCUGGAAGGUUAAAGGGAGGGGUGCAAGCUCUGAACUGAAGCCCCAGUAAACGGCGGCCGUAACAAUAACGGUCCUAAGGUAGCGAAAUUCCUUGUCGGGUAAGUUCCGACCUGCACGAAUGGCGUAACGACUUCCCCGCUGUCUCAAACGUGGACUCAGCGAAAUUGAACUGUGUGUCAAGAUGCACACUACCCGCGGUUAGACGGAAAGACCCCCUGCACCUUUACUCCAGCUUUGCACUGGCAUCAGGAUUGUGAUGUGCAGGAUAGGUGGUAGGCAUCGAAACCGGGACGCCAGUCUCGGUGGAGCCUCCCUCGAGAUACCACCCUUCGCACUCUUGAUGUCUAACCGCGGCCCGUCAUCCGGGUCCGGGACCAUGCAUGGUGGGGAGUUUGACUGGGGCGGUCGCCUCCCAAAUCGUAACGGAGGCGCGCGAAGGUUGGCUCAGACCGGUCGGAAAUCGGUCGUUGAGUGCAAUGGCAUAAGCCUGCCUGACUGCAAGACUGACACGUCGAGCAGAGACGAAAGUCGGCCAUAGUGAUCCGGUGGUCCCACGUGGGUGGGCCAUCGCUCAACGGAUAAAAGGUACGCUGGGGAUAACAGGCUGAUGAUGCCCAAGAGUCCAUAUCGACGGCAUCGUUUGGCACCUCGAUGUCGGCUCAUCUCAUCCUGGGGCUGAAGUCGGUCCCAAGGGUAUGGCUGUUCGCCAUUUAAAGAGGUACGUGAGCUGGGUUUAGAACGUCGUGAGACAGUUCGGUCCCUAUCUGCCGUGGGUGUAGGAGACUUGAGAAGAGUUGCCCCUAGUACGAGAGGACCGGGGUGAACGGACCACUGGUGGACCAGUUAUCGUGCCAACGGUAGUGCUGGGUAGCUAUGUUCGGACAGGAUAAACGCUGAAGGCAUCUAAGCGUGAAGCCCCCUUCAAAACAAGGUCUCCCUUGAGGGCCGUGGUAGACCACCACGUCGAUAGGCCGGAGAUGUACGUGCAGCAAUGCACUCAGUUGAC
rnacentral:rRNA from 1 species